rnacentral:rRNA from 1 species
UGCCUAAUGGUUGUAAACCUCUUUUCUCUAGGAAGAUGAUGACGGUACUAGAGGAAUCAGCCUCGGCUAACUCCGUGCCAGCAGCCGCGGUAAUACGGAGGAGGCAAGCGUUAUCCGGAAUUAUUGGGCGUAAAGCGUCCGUAGGUGGCAGAACAAGUCAGUUGUUAAAGAGCGGGGCUUAACCCCGUAGAGGCGAUUGAAACUGUUUAGCUAGAGUGUGGUAGGGGUUACGGGAAUUCCCAGUGUAGCGGUGAAAUGCGUAGAUAUUGGGAAGAACACCGGUGGCGAAAGCGCGUAACUGGGCCUGCACUGACACUGAGGGACGAAAGCCAGGGGAGCGAAUGGGAUUAGAUAC